UACGUAGGUGGCAAGCGUUAUCCGGAUUUACUGGGUGUAAAGGGCGUGUAGGCGGGACUGCAAGUCAGAUGUGAAACCCAUGGGCUCAACCCAUGGCCUGCAUUUGAAACUGUAGUACUUGAGUGAUGGAGAGGCAGGCGGAAUUCCGUGUGUAGCGGUGAAAUGCGUAGAUAUACGGAGGAACACCAGUGGCGAAGGCGGCCUGCUGGACAUUAACUGACGCUGAGGCGCGAAAGCGUGGGGAGCAAACAGG
rnacentral:rRNA from 1 species